rnacentral:rRNA from 1 species
GGGUUGUGAGGUUAAGCGACUAAGCGUACACGGUGGAUGCCCUGGCAGUCAGAGGCGAUGAAGGGCGUGCUAAUCUGCGAUAAGCGCCGGUAAGGUGAUAUGAACCGUUAUAACCGGCGAUACCCGAAUGGGGAAACCCAGUGUGACUCGUCACACUAUCAUUAACUGAAUCCAUAGGUUAAUGAGGCGAACCGGGGGAACUGAAACAUCUAAGUACCCCGAGGAAAAGAAAUCAACCGAGAUUCCCCCAGUAGCGGCGAGCGAACGGGGAGGAGCCCAGAGCCUGAAUCAGCAUGUGUGUUAGUGGAAGCGUCUGGAAAGGCGCGCGAUACAGGGUGACAGCCCCGUACACAAAAGCGCAUGUGCUGUGAGCUCGAUGAGUAGGGCGGGACACGUGGUAUCCUGUCUGAAUAUGGGGGGACCAUCCUCCAAGGCUAAAUACUCCUGACUGACCGAUAGUGAACCAGUACCGUGAGGGAAAGGCGAAAAGAACCCCGGCGAGGGGAGUGAAAAAGAACCUGAAACCGUGUACGUACAAGCAGUGGGAGCACCCUUUGGGUGUGACUGCGUACCUUUUGUAUAAUGGGUCAGCGACUUAUAUUCUGUAGCAAGGUUAACCGAAUAGGGGAGCCGGAGGGAAACCGAGUCUUAAUUGGGCGUUAAGUUGCAGGGUAUAGACCCGAAACCCGGUGAUCUAGCCAUGGGCAGGUUGAAGGUUGGGUAACACUAACUGGAGGACCGAACCGACUAAUGUUGAAAAAUUAGCGGAUGACCUGUGGCUGGGGGUGAAAGGCCAAUCAAACCGGGAGAUAGCUGGUUCUCCCCGAAAGCUAUUUAGGUAGCGCCUCGUGAAUUCAUCUCCGGGGGUAGAGCACUGUUUCGGCUAGGGGGCCAUCCCGGCUUACCAACCCGAUGCAAACUGCGAAUACCGGAGAAUGUUAUCACGGGAGACACACGGCGGGUGCUAACGUCCGUCGUGAAGAGGGAAACAACCCAGACCGCCAGCUAAGGUCCCAAAGUCAUGGUUAAGUGGGAAACGAUGUGGGAAGGCCCAGACAGCCAGGAUGUUGGCUUAGAAGCAGCCAUCAUUUAAAGAAAGCGUAAUAGCUCACUGGUCGAGUCGGCCUGCGCGGAAGAUGUAACGGGGCUAAACCAUGCACCGAAGCUGCGGCAGCGACACUGUGUGUUGUUGGGUAGGGGAGCGUUCUGUAAGCCUGCGAAGGUGGCCUGUGAGGGUUGCUGGAGGUAUCAGAAGUGCGAAUGCUGACAUAAGUAACGAUAAAGCGGGUGAAAAGCCCGCUCGCCGGAAGACCAAGGGUUCCUGUCCAACGUUAAUCGGGGCAGGGUGAGUCGACCCCUAAGGCGAGGCCGAAAGGCGUAGUCGAUGGGAAACGGGUUAAUAUUCCCGUACUUGGUGUUACUGCGAAGGGGGGACGGAGAAGGCUAUGUUGGCCGGGCGACGGUUGUCCCGGUUUAAGCGUGUAGGUGUGUGUUCCAGGUAAAUCCGGUUCACUUUAACACUGAGGCGUGACGACGAGGCACUACGGUGCUGAAGCAACAAAUCGCCCUGCUUCCAGGAAAAGCCUCUAAGCAUCAGGUAACAUCAAAUCGUACCCCAAACCGACACAGGUGGUCAGGUAGAGAAUACCAAGGCGCUUGAGGAGAACUCGGGUGAAGGAACUAGGCAAAAUGGUGCCGUAACUUCGGGAGAAGGCACGCUGACACGUAGGUGAAGUGAUUUACUCAUGGAGCUGAAGUCAGUCGAAGAUACCAGCUGGCUGCAACUGUUUAUUAAAAACACAGCACUGUGCAAACACGAAAGUGGACGUAUACGGUGUGACGCCUGCCCGGUGCCGGAAGGUUAAUUGAUGGGGUCAGCGCAAGCGAAGCUCCUGAUCGAAGCCCCGGUAAACGGCGGCCGUAACUAUAACGGUCCUAAGGUAGCGAAAUUCCUUGUCGGGUAAGUUCCGACCUGCACGAAUGGCGUAAUGAUGGCCAGGCUGUCUCCACCCGAGACUCAGUGAAAUUGAACUCGCUGUGAAGAUGCAGUGUACCCGCGGCAAGACGGAAAGACCCCGUGAACCUUUACUAUAGCUUGACACUGAACAUUGAGCCUUGAUGUGUAGGAUAGGUGGGAGGCUUUGAAGUGUGGACGCCAGUCUGCAUGGAGCCGACCUUGAAAUACCACCCUUUAAUGUUUGAUGUUCUAACGUGGACCCGUUACCCGGGUUGCGGACAGUGUCUGGUGGGUAGUUUGACUGGGGCGGUCUCCUCCUAAAGAGUAACGGAGGAGCACGAAGGUUGGCUAAUCCUGGUCGGACAUCAGGAGGUUAGUGCAAUGGCAUAAGCCAGCUUGACUGCGAGCGUGACGGCGCGAGCAGGUGCGAAAGCAGGUCAUAGUGAUCCGGUGGUUCUGAAUGGAAGGGCCAUCGCUCAACGGAUAAAAGGUACUCCGGGGAUAACAGGCUGAUACCGCCCAAGAGUUCAUAUCGACGGCGGUGUUUGGCACCUCGAUGUCGGCUCAUCACAUCCUGGGGCUGAAGUAGGUCCCAAGGGUAUGGCUGUUCGCCAUUUAAAGUGGUACGCGAGCUGGGUUUAGAACGUCGUGAGACAGUUCGGUCCCUAUCUGCCGUGGGCGCUGGAGAACUGAGGGGGGCUGCUCCUAGUACGAGAGGACCGGAGUGGACGCAUCACUGGUGUUCGGGUUGUCAUGCCAAUGGCACUGCCCGGUAGCUAAAUGCGGAAGAGAUAAGUGCUGAAAGCAUCUAAGCACGAAACUUGCCCCGAGAUGAGUUCUCCCUGAGACUUAGAGUCUCCUGAAGGAACGUUGAAGACGACGACGUUGAUAGGCCGGGUGUGUAAGCGCAGCGAUGCGUUGAGCUAACCGGUACUAAUGAACCGUGAGGCUUAACCUUACAACGCCGAAG